rnacentral:rRNA from 1 species
GAUGAACGCUGGCGGCGUGCCUAAUACAUGCAAGUCGAGCGAACAGACGAGGAGCUUGCUCCUCUGACGUUAGCGGCGGACGGGUGAGUAACACGUGGAUAACCUACCUAUAAGACUGGGAUAACUUCGGGAAACCGGAGCUAAUACCGGAUAAUAUAUUGAACCGCUUGGUUCAAUAGUGAAAGACGGUUUUGCUGUCACUUAUAGAUGGAUCCGCGCCGCAUUAGCUAGUUGGUAAGGUAACGGCUUACCAAGGCAACGAUGCGUAGCCGACCUGAGAGGGUGAUCGGCCACACUGGAACUGAGACACGGUCCAGACUCCUACGGGAGGCAGCAGUAGGGAAUCUUCCGCAAUGGGCGAAAGCCUGACGGAGCAACGCCGCGUGAGUGAUGAAGGUCUUCGGAUCGUAAAACUCUGUUAUUAGGGAAGAACAAAUGUGUAAGUAACUAUGCACGUCAUGACGGUACCUAAUCAGAAAGCCACGGCUAACUACGUG